AGUGAACGCUGGCGGUAGGCCUAACACAUGCAAGUCGAACGGCAGCACAGUAAGAGCUUGCUCUUACGGGUGGCGAGUGGCGGACGGGUGAGGAAUACAUCGGAAUCUACUUUUUCGUGGGGGAUAACGUAGGGAAACUUACGCUAAUACCUCAUACGACCUACGGGUGAAAGCAGGGGAUCUUCGGACCUUGCGCGAUUGAAUGAGCCGAUGUCGGAUUAGCUAGUUGGCGGGGUAAAGGCCCAACAAGGCGACGAUCCGUAGCUGGUCUGAGAGGAUGAUCAGCCACACUGGAACUGAGACACGGUCCAGACUCCUACGGGAGGCAGCAGUGGGGAAUAUUGGACAAUGGGCGCAAGCCUGAUCCAGCCAUACCGCGUGGGUGAAGAAGGCCUUCGGGUUGUAAAGCCCUUUUGUUGGGAAAGAAAAGCAGCAGGUUAAUACCCCGCUGUUCUGACGGUACCCAAAGAAUAAGCACCGGCUAACUUCGUG
rnacentral:rRNA from 1 species